CGGCCCGUGGUGAGCGAUGGACGA
rnacentral:siRNA from 1 species